rnacentral:rRNA from 1 species
CUACGGGGGGCAGCAGCUGAGGAUCUUUUACAAUGCACGAAAGUGUGAUAAAGCGAGCCAGAGUGUUGUUCUUAGAACAACUUUUGUCUGCUGUAAAAAGGCAGAUGAAUAAGGACUGGGUAAGACCGGUGCCAGCCGCCGCGGUAAUACCGGCGGUCCAAGUUGCAUCCAUUUUUAUUGGGUCUAAAACAUUCGUAGCUUGUUUUGUAAGUUUCUUGUGAAAUCUUAUGUCUCAAACAUGAGGCUUGCAAGAAAUACUGCAUAACUAGAGACCGGAAGGCGUAAGGAGUAUGAUUGAGGUAGCGGUAAUAUGUGUUAAUCUUAAUCAGACUAACAAUGGCGAAGGCACCUUACGAGUACGGAUCUGACAGUGAGGGAUGAAGGCUAGGGGCGCAAAACGGAUUAGAUACCCGGGUAGUC